rnacentral:rRNA from 1 species
UACGUAGGGUGCAAGCGUUGUCCGGAAUCAUUGGGUUUAAAGGGUCCGUAGGCGGUCUUGUAAGUCAGUGGUGAAAGCCCAUCGCUCAACGGUGGAACGGCCAUUGAUACUGCAGGACUUGAAUUACUGGGAAGCAACUAGAAUAUGUAGUGUAGCGGUGAAAUGCUUAGAGAUUACAUGGAAUACCAAUUGCGAGGGCAGGUUGCUACCGGUGGAUUGACGCUGAUGGACGAAAGCGUGGGUAGCGAACAGG